AACGAACGCUGGCGGCAUGCCUAACACAUGCAAGUCGAACGAGAUCUUCGGGUCUAGUGGCGCACGGGUGCGCAACGCGUGGGAAUCUGCCCUUUGGUUCGGAAUAACAGUUGGAAACGACUGCUAAUACCGGAUGAUGACGAAAGUCCAAAGAUUUAUCGCCAGAGGAUGAGCCCGCGUAGGAUUAGCUAGUUGGUGUGGUAAAGGCGCACCAAGGCGACGAUCCUUAGCUGGUCUGAGAGGAUGAUCAGCCACACUGGGACUGAGACACGGCCCAGACUCCUACGGGGGGCAGCAGUGGGGAAUAUUGGACAAUGGGCGAAAGCCUGAUCCAGCAAUGCCGCGUGAGUGAUGAAGGCCUUAGGGUUGUAAAGCUCUUUUACCCGGGAUGAUAAUGACAGUACCGGGAGAAUAAGCUCCGGCUAACUCCGUGCCAGCCGCCGCGGUAA
rnacentral:rRNA from 1 species